UGCACCGUUGUCUAAUGGUUAGGAUUCAUCCCUCCCACGGAUGAGGUCGGGGUUCGAUUCCCCGGCGGCGCAC
rnacentral:tRNA from 1 species